rnacentral:rRNA from 1 species
AACGAACGCUGGCGGCAUGCCUAACACAUGCAAGUCGAACGAGACCUUCGGGUCUAGUGGCGCACGGGUGCGUAACGCGUGGGAACCUGCCCUUAGGUUCGGAAUAACUCCCCGAAAGGGGUGCUAAUACCGGAUAAUGUCUUCGGACCAAAGAUUUAUCGCCUUUGGAUGGGCCCGCGUUGGAUUAGCUAGUUGGUAGGGUAAAAGCCUACCAAGGCGACGAUCCAUAGCUGGUCUGAGAGGAUGAUCAGCCACACUGGGACUGAGACACGGCCCAGACUCCUGCGGGAGGCAGCAGGAGGGAAUAUUGGACAAUGGGCGAAAGCCUGAUCCAGCAAUGCCGCGUGAGUGAUGAAGGCCUUAGGGUUGUAAAGCUCUUUUACCCGGGAUGAUAAUGACAGUACCGGGAGAAUAAGCUCCGGCUAACUCCGUG